GUUAAGUUUUAUUCUUGCUUUUUCAUUCAGUUUUUAUUUGUUCUAUAUGUAAAUUUUUGUGUGAAUUUAAUUAUAUUGAUUCUAGAUGGGUUAAUAUAUUUUUUUAUUCUCAUUAGUUAUUAUUGGUUGGUCAAGUAUUUUUGUAUUCAGCAAUAUUUUUAGUUUCGGUUAAAUUUUGUGCCAGCAGCCGCGGUUAUACCUUGGAAGCAUUUGAAUGUGUUUGGCAUAUGUAGUUAUAUUAUUUAGUUUGUUUAAUUUUUUUAUAAUAGUUGUUAGGUGAAAUUUUUUUUAUUUUUUAUUUUGUUUUUCUAUUUGGAGGCUAUGAAAUUCUUUUUAUAAACUAGGAUUAGAUACCCUAUUAUUUUUGAAUGUUAAUUUUUUUUGUGCUUGAGUAGUAUUAGUUAUGUUCUUGAAACUUAAAGAAUUUGGCGGUAUCUCAUUCCGUCCAGAGGAAUCUGUCUCGUUAUCGAUAGUCCGCGUUGGACCUUACUUAGUUUAAUAGGGUUUGUAUACCGCCGUUUAUUGAUUAUCUUUUUAGAGUUUUAUUUAAUUUUCUAGUUUCUUUAUUUUGAUUUAUUUCAGGUCAAGGUGCAGCUUGUUUCUAAGUGGAAUGAUGGAUUACAUUAUUAUUUGUUUUAUGGAUUAUUAAUUUUAAUAUUAAUAUGAAAUUGGAUUUGGUUGUAAUUAUUUGUAGAUUGUUAUUAUGAUAAAUGGUUCUGAGAUAUGCACACAUCGCCCGUCGCUCUCGUUUAAUAUUAUUAAUGAGAUAAGUCGUAACAAAGUGGUUGUACCGGAAGGUGCAGCUGGAUUGAU
rnacentral:ncRNA from 1 species